CAGAAGACGGGUGAUUUCUGCAUUUCCAACUAAGUCUGUCACUGCUUGAGGACUGUCCUGAUUCACAGCAGUUCAUAGAACCUCUCAGAAGACCACCUUCAAGAUAGAGUAACCAAUUGCACUUGGAACCAAGUGGUGGCCAGCAAGAUUUUUGAUGUCUAUUUCCUUUGAUAAAAUCCAGAAAAGUAAGAGGAAAAUGUAAUGUAACCCAGUAAAAGGAAUUCCAC